rnacentral:piRNA from 1 species
UGGGUGACCGACAAUGAAUACUGAAUCUAUG